UGGCUGUGUGGGGUAGAGGGAGGAAUGAUGGAGGGUAGGAGAGCCUUGAGCCUGCGAGAAGAGUCUCUUAGAAUAGAGAAGCUGAAGUUAAAGUUGUGGAAGAGAGUGGGGAUAACUGAGUGACAGAUAAUCAGGAGAAGAAAAGGAGAUCCAGACUCAUGACAGAGAGAUGACCUUUGCCAAGAGCACAGCCGUCUUUCACGGUCACAGAGAGGUAGGACAAAAUGAGUGGUGUUCAAGAAUUGGUUUGUAGCACAAUAUUUCAACUAUGUCCUUUAAAAAGUUUCUCCACAGACACUACCCAAAGCAGUGCUUCACUACAGUGGCAGACAGACCUGAAAAUUUUCAUCUGAAGCAGCAGAGUGAACUGCAGAGGCAGGUCACCAACCAGUGUGGAGGCUAAAAGCGGGCCUCUUUGGGGAUUCCAGGUGGAAGUGUUGGACAUCUGUAGUAUUCCUGGUCUCGAAUCAUCCUGAUAUUCUUCAUUUUGUUAUUCACAUUGGACUAGGCAGGAACAAAGAUCACCACAACUGGCUCCCCUUCAACUAUGUUAGAUGGCAACUUGCCUUCAGUAUGGUGAAACACAUCAAAUUUCUCUUGCCUGACACAGCAUAGGAAGAUGCUGAACGGCCACACAGUGAUCCAUUGAGAUAGAAUCUCACUAUGUUGACCAGGCUGGUCUUGAACUCUUGGCACCCAAGCGAUCCUUUUGCCUGGAAUCCCAAAGUGUCAGAUUUACUGAAGAAUAUUUCAUUGUAAUUACUUUUUAUACUUUAUAGGUCAAGAGCUCUGUUUUAAAUACAAAAUUUAUU
rnacentral:lncRNA from 1 species